rnacentral:rRNA from 1 species
ACGCUCGACACCUACGGGAUGCAGCAGUCGGGAAUAUUGCGCAAUGGAGGGAACUCUGACGCAGUGACGCCGCGUAUAGGAAGAAGGUUUUCGGAUUGUAAACUAUUUUAGACAGGGAAGAAUAAAGACAGUACCUGUAGAAGUAAGCUCCGGCUAACUACGUCACGCAGCCGCGGUAAGUCUGAGGCGGGCGUGGCGAAGGCG